UUGGUAAGAGGGAGUGAGUGCUGAGCCUUUCUCAGAAACGCUCCUGGGCGGGAAAGCAAAACUAUUUCCUUAAAAUGGCAGCUGUCACUUAAGAUGGCUAACCAGAUGUUAAGCAAGGACUUUAUACGGCCAACAAACAAUUUCUCAGACUUCUGCCUUUUUUGACUCCGAUGCCUAACCUCACCUUCAAGACUAAAAUAUUCACUCUUCAUAAUAUUUACUGUUGGGAAUCUUGGGAACUGAUUCCUAUCAAUGAAUUUCUAUGUUAAUUUGAACUCAGCCUCCCCAGAAACACACUGCAUUAGCAGAUAUAGGAGCCCCCAUACGAUGGACUUCAGUUGAAAGACAUUCUGAAGUGUUACCCCAGCCUGAAGCUCCUGGUGGGGUUGACUGAGAACUUUGUUAUGACUGUAUUAAAAUUACUUUUUCCACAUAAGCCUAA